CAACCUACCUAUCAGAGGGGAAUAACCCGGCGAAAGUCGGACUAAUACCGCAUAAAACAGGGGCACCGCAUGGUGAUAUUUGUUAAAGAGAUUCGCUGAUAGAUGGGCAUGCGUUCCAUUAGGUAGUUGGUGAGGUAACGGCUCACCAAGCCGACGAUGGAUAGGGGAACUGAGAGGUUGGUCCCCCACACUGGUACUGAGACACGGACCAGACUCCUACGGGAGGCAGCAGUGAGGAAUAUUGGUCAAUGGGCGAGAGCCUGAACCAGCCAAGUCGCGUGAAGGAAGAAGGAUCUAUGGUUCGUAAACUUCUUUUGCAGGGGAAUAGAGUGCAGGACGUGUCCUGUUUUGUAUGUACCCUGAGAAUAAGGAUCGGCUAACUCCGUGCCAGCAGCCGCAGUAAUACGGAGGAUCCGAGCGUUAUCCGGAUUUAUUGGGUUUAAAGGGUGCGUAGGUGGUUUGAUAAGUCAGCGGUGAAAGUUUGCAGCUUAACUGUAAAAAUGCCGUUGAAACUGUCGGACUUGAGUGUAAAUGAGGUAGGCGGAAUGCGUGGUGUAGCGGUGAAAUGCAUAGAUAUCACGAAGAACUCCGAUUG
rnacentral:rRNA from 1 species